UACGUAGGGUGCGAGCGUUGUCCGGAAUUAUUGGGCGUAAAGGGCUCGUAGGCGGUUUGUCGCGUCGGGAGUGAAAUCACCGGGCUUAACUCGGUGCUUGCUUUCGAUACGGGCAGACUAGAGGUAUGCAGGGGAGAACGGAAUUCCUGGUGUAGCGGUGAAAUGCGCAGAUAUCAGGAGGAACACCGGUGGCGAAGGCGGUUCUCUGGGCAUUACCUGACGCUGAGGAGCGAAAGUGUGGGGAGCGAACAGG
rnacentral:rRNA from 1 species